UCCCGGGCUACACACACGCUACAAUGGGUGAUACAAAAGGUUGCAAUAGAGUGAUCUGGAGCUAAUCCUGAAAAUCAUCCUCAGUUCGGAUUGUAGGCUGAAACUGCCUGCAUGAAGUUGGAGUUGCUAGUAACCGCAGGUCAGCACACUGCCGUGACCUACGUUCUCGGGCCUU
rnacentral:rRNA from 1 species